rnacentral:rRNA from 1 species
UACGUAGGGUGCAAGCGUUAUCCGGAAUUAUUGGGCGUAAAGAGCUCGUAGGCGGUUUGUCGCGUCUGCCGUGAAAGUCCGGGCUCAACUCCGGAUCUGCGGUGGGUACGGGCAGACUAGAGUGCAGUAGGGGAGACUGGAAUUCCUGGUGUAGCGGUGAAAUGCGCAGAUAGUCAGGAGGAACACCGAUGGCGAAGGCAGGUCUCUGGGCUGUAACUGACGCUGGAGGAGCGAAAGCAUGGGAGCGAACAGG